ACGAACGCUGGCGGCGUGCCUAACACAUGCAAGUCAGGGAGAAAAAGGUAGCAAUAUCUUGAGUAAACCGGCGAACGGGUGAGUAUAACGUAGACAACUUCCCUCGCAAACGGGGAUAACUCCGGGAAACCGGAGCUAAUACCCGAUGAUAUCCGGAGAGAGCAUUCUUUCCGGAUCAAAGGCCCGAAAGGGCGUUGCGAGAUGGGUCUGCGCCCCAUUAGAUAGUUGGCGGGGUAAAAGCCCACCAAGUCAACGAUGGGUAGCUGGUCUGAGAGGACGACCAGCCACACUGGAACUGAGACACGGUCCAGACUUCUACGGAAGGCAGCAGUGAGGAAUAUUGCUCAAUGGGCGAAAGCCUGAAGCAGCGACGCCGCGUGAGGGAUGAAAUCCGUUAGGAUGUAAACCUCUUUUAUAGGGGAAGAAUAGCCCGGUUACCGGGUCUGACUGUACCCUAUGAAUAAGCACCGGCCAACUACGU
rnacentral:rRNA from 1 species